AGUGAACGCUGGCGGUAGGCCUAACACAUGCAAGUCGAACGGCAGCACAGUAAGAGCUUGCUCUUACGGGUGGCGAGUGGCGGACGGGUGAGGAAUACAUCGGAAUCUACUUUUUCGCGGGGGAUAACGUAGGGAAACUUACGCUAAUACCGCAUACGACCUACGGGUGAAAGCAGGGGAUCUUCGGACCUUGCGCGAGUGAAUGAGCCGAUGUCGGAUUAGCUAGUUGGCGGGGUAAAGGCCCACCAAGGCGACGAUCCGUAGCUGGUCUGAGAGGAUGAUCAGCCACACUGGAACUGAGACACGGUCCAGACUCCUACGGGAGGCAGCAGUGGGGAAUAUUGGACAAUGGGCGCAAGCCUGAUCCAGCCAUACCGCGUGGGUGAAGAAGGCCUUCGGGUUGUAAAGCCCUUUUGUUGGGAAAGAAAAGCAGCAGGUUAAUACCCCGCUGUUCUGACGGUACCCAAAGAAUAAGCACCGGCUAACUUCGUG
rnacentral:rRNA from 1 species